UACGUAGGGUGCUAGCGCUGUUCGGAAUCAUUGGGCGUAAAGCGCGUGUAGGUGGUCAGUAAAGUCGGAUGUGAAAGCCCUGGGCUCAACCCGGGAAGUGCAUUCGAUACUGGCUGGCUAGAAGAUGGUAGAGGUAGGUGGAAUUCCAAGUGUAGAGGUGAAAUUCGUAGAUAUUCGGAAGAACACCAGUGGCGAAGGCGGCUUUCUGGGCCUUACCUGACGCUGAGACGCGAAAGCGUGGGGAGCGAACCGG
rnacentral:rRNA from 1 species